rnacentral:rRNA from 1 species
UACGAAGGGGGCUAGCGUUGCUCGGAAUCACUGGGCGUAAAGCGCACGUAGGCGGAUCUUUAAGUCAGGGGUGAAAUCUCAAGGCUCAACCUUGGAACUGCCUUUGAUACUGGGGAUCUCGAGUCCGGAAGAGGUGAGUGGAACUGCGAGUGUAGAGGUGAAAUUCGUAGAUAUUCGCAAGAACACCAGUGGCGAAGGCGGCUCACUGGUCCGGUACUGACGCUGAGGUGCGAAAGCGUGGGGAGCAAACAGG